CUUAAAAGUCAGCCGGACUCAAACCACAAAAACGGCCCCCACCCAACUAAAACAUUCGCCACAUUAAGUAUCAGCGACAGAAAAAUAACGCCCGCGCGACAGCUAAAAGUACCAUAUGGGAACACUGAAAGAAAACUCAAACACUCAAGCACAAAACAGCAGGGCUAACAACCCGUACCUCUUGCAUCAUGGUUUAACAAGCACUCCCAGAUAAAGCGCACUUUAACCUGCCCUCCCGAAUCCAGACGAUCUACCCCAAAGCAAUCACCUAGGAUGCACCCUCCUCUGUGGCAAAAGAGCGGGAAGACUUUGGGGUAGCGGUGAAACGCCAAUCGAGCCUGGUGAUAGCUGGUUGCUCAACAAACGAAUAUAAGUUCGACUCUAGCCAAACCCAAACGAUCCCUUACACCCAUGUAAUGUCUAGAAGUUAUACAAUUAGGGAACAGCCUAGUUGUACUCGGAUACAGCCGAAGCUGGUGGAUCAGAACCUUUUUUUUCCCAGUAGGCCCUAAAGCAGCCACCAAACAAAACCGCGUCAAAGCAACAAAUUAAAAAAUUCAACCACCCACCCCCAAUCCCCACACAUAAUUGAGCCACCCUAGUCAAAACUAGGGGUAACACUGUUAAAACUAGUAAUAAGAAUCCAUUCUCUAUCGCACAUCCUUACACCGGCACGGAUUUACCGCCGGUAAUUACCAACCAAACAAAAUUUUUCACCUGUCACCCCAACACAGGAGUGCCCAAAAGAUUAGGCAAACCGUCACAAAAGGAACUCGGCUAACAUGCCCCACCUGUUUACCAAAAACAUCGCCUUUAGCCAGACAAGUAUUAAAGGUCUCGCCUGCCCAGUGAACCACCCCCUUUAAACGGCCGCGGUACUCUAACCGUGCAAAGGUAGCGUAAUCAUUUGCCCCCUAAAUAGGGGCUAGUAUGAACGGCUAAAUGAGGGCCUAACUGUCUCCUGCGACAAGCCAAUGAAACUGAUCUCUCAGUACAAAAGCUGAGAUAUACCCACAAGACGAGAAGACCCUGUGGAGCUUCCUAAACACAACACUAAACCCACUCAACCACCCAUAGUGCUGACUUUUAGUUGGGGCGACUACGGAGAUAACCCAAACCUCCAUGAAACAGGAUCUCCUCCUCCCAAGGCAAACACGCCUAAGAUAAUUAUACCUUUGACCCAGCAUUGCUGAACAACGGACCAAGUUACCCCAGGGAUAACAGCGCAAUCCUCCCCAAGAGUCCUUAUCGCCAGGAGGGUUUACGACCUCGAUGUUGGAUCAGGACACCCAGG
rnacentral:rRNA from 1 species